UACGUAGGGAGCAAGCGUUGUCCGGAAUCAUUGGGCGUAAAGCGCGCGUAGGCGGCCCGAUAAGUCCGCUGUAAAAGUCAACGGCUCAACUGUUGAAAGCCGGUGGAUACUGUCGGGCUAGAGUACGGAAGAGGCAAGUGGAAUUCCUGGUGUAGCGGUGAAAUGCGCAGAUAUCAGGAAGAACACCUAUGGCGAAAGCAGCUCUCUGGGACGGUACUGACGCUGAGACGCGAAAGCGUGGGGAGCGAACAGG
rnacentral:rRNA from 1 species